GAGAGCCUUGCCUCAGACAGUAUCUUCUCUUCCACUAUUCAACAGUGACAACAAACUGCAACAUUAGGUAACGUUAUCUUAGAGAUGGAAUUCAGGAAACGACUCUCAGCACAACACCAACACAAACUCAGAGGCAUUUGAUUCCCGGAGGGACCCUCGUUUGGUUUUGGAGAUCAAAACCGGCCCUGAAUUGCUGUUCUUCUUAUUGGGCAGGUUACAUUGGUGCUGAAACCCAGGAAGGAGGAGGGAUGCGCUGUCAUCCGACUGCCAUCUGCCAGGAAGCGGAGGAGCUGCGGCCAAGGGACAGAGGAGUCACUGCCAGGAUUUGGAGGAACCCCUGCCGUCCGCCUGGCUGGGGACCAGCGGCUCCAGAGAUACGGGGAAGACCUACCGGCAGAAGGACAGCCAGAAGGAAAACACUUGCCCUCCAGGAAGGGAGGGGAGGGGAGUACUUCAUGCCGGUAGUUUACCCAGCCUGAAACGGGCGGUGGAGGAGAGUGACGAGGAGGGACACAUGGUCUGGCUUUGGAGGAAGACCACACUGUCCUGGAGGAGACGUUCCAUCCUCUAGGAGUCAGAGGACUCGCUGCCAUCUGCUAGGGGAGGAGCGGCUGUUGUCCGCCAGAGGGCGGAGGAGUGGCUGAGGACCAGGCGAUGGCGUCUCCAGGGACCGGCGAGUGAGUUUUUCUCUCUCUUGCUGUCUCUCCCCUCGCUCUUUCCCUCUCCAAGGGACCCAGAGAGGUGGGGAAGACCUGCCAGCAGAAGUACGGCCGGAAGAGCAGCACGUGAUGCCGGAAGUCUCCCCGGCCUAAAUCGGGCGGCGGAGGUGUGUGACGAGGAGGGUGUGGUUGGGCCGUUACGACGUAAUGAAUUGUCGUAAUCAGCUGGGACCCCCUCCCAGCUGAUUAUAAAUAAAAAUAAAGACAAACCGGGAGCGCCAGUUCAAGAGGGAGAGAAAGACACAUGCGGCCACUCUCUGUGUGUGUGUGUGUGUGUGUGUGUGUGUGUGUGUGUGUGUGUGUGUGUGUGUGCGCAUGCGUCUGUCGGUUUUAUGUUGUUUUAUUUUAUUUAUGUCAUUAAAGUUUACAUUAAUUGCUCAGGUGGUUCCCACCUCCUCCUUGCCCAUCCUUUAGCCAUUACACUGAUGUUUAUUACUUUUUUCUACUGAACACUAAAGAUUUUUAGAUGAAUAUUUUAGCUCUGUGGGUACAAUGCAAGUGAAUGGGUCCAACAUUUUGAAGCUCCAAAAUGCACAUAAAGCCAGCAUAAAAGUAAUCCAUAUCUUCAGAAGCGAUAUUAUAGGUGUGGGUUAGAAACAGAUCAAUAUUUAAGUCCUUUUUUCAAUAAAUUCUCCUCCCUGCCCAGUAGGUGGUGAUAUGCAUGAAGAAUGUAAAUUGCCAAAAACAAAAGGAGAAGAAUGUGAAAGUUGAGAUUUAUAGUAAAAAUAGGACUCAUAUUUAUCAGUUUCUCACCCCAACCUAUCAUAUUGCUUCUAAAGACAUGGAUGAAACCACGGAAGUCUGAUGAAUUACUUUUAUGCUGUCUUUAUGUCCUUUCGGAGAUUAAACAUUUUGGUACCUAAUCACUUGCAUUGUGAGGACCCACAGAGCUGAAAUAUUCUUCUAAAAAUCUUUGUUCAGCAGAAGAAAUGAAUAUAUAUCUUGGAUGGCAUUAGGGCAUGGCAUGAGUAAAUGAUGAGAGAAUUUUCAUUUUGAGUGAAAUAUUUCUUUAAUAAUUUGUAAUCUUUAUAUUCUGGCAGAAACUGCCUGUCAGAAAAGUGAAAAAAUAUAGCCUGUCUGAACAUCUGAUCUCCUGGGAAUUUGUAAUGAUUGUAUUAGAUCAUCAAUCAUAAAACACUAUUAUUGUCCUCUCAAAUAUUUUGUGAUGAAGCACCAUUAGAUGCUAUAGCAAUUUUUUUUUUUUUUUUUUUAAGCUUAGAUUCCAGACAGUUCAAAUGGAUCAUCAGGGAUUUAUGUUUAUAUAAAACUCUCCAAAAGCACUUGUUAAAUUUAAACUGUUAAAUUAAAAUUUUGGCAGCUCACAUUUUGAACUUUUAGAAGAGCCACUACUGAUGAACCUCAUGUCAUCGUGUGCCCUUCUGUAAUUACUACAGUGAUUAACAAUUCAUUAUAAUGUGAAAAGCAGAUUUUUACCAUUUCAGAUGGUUAAAGACAAGUGUUAAGUGUAUCAUUUUAAACUGUAAAAUGUACAGGUUGUUCUGUAAAGUUGUUUACAUUUUUACUGUAUUUAUUACAUAAUUAUUCUGACAACCACAGCAACCAGAUUUUUUUACAGUGUAGAAAAUGUAAGAAUUUGUUCAUUUGUUUUAGUUUUGUUUGUUUUUUCUUUCAUGAUUUCUGUCAUGCCUUUGUUAAAUGAUGCACCACAAUUGUGAUAUGAAGUAAGGGUGAAUAUGAUAAUUUACCAUUAUUGAGUUUACAUACUGAAGGGAGAGUUUGGAAAUUCACAGAUCUACCUGUAAAUUCGAUAUACCUCUCGCCUCGGACAAGGUCUGCAGAACUGGUUUACAACCUUUUUAAAAUACAUUUUAUAAUAAUUUAUUUUAUGUAGAUUUUGUAUGUAUUGAACAUAUAAUGUUUCUGUUUAUAGUUAUUUGUGGAUUCUUUGAAAAUUAUUGUUUAUUCUUUCUUAUUUGUUAUCAAAUCUUUAAAAGUUGUGAACCUUAAUGUUCAUUAUCUUAUCAAAUUGUAUUUGUAAAGUUCUUGAGUACACAUUGAAUU